GGGUCCUGUCUGGGAAGUGUCUACCAGGAGGACAUCUGUAGUGUGUGCUCCUUGUUCAGUGCUCUGAACUGAACUGCCAAUACAGUUAACUGCCACAUGUUCAUUGUCUGAGUGACCAGAAGAUGAUGGCCAAGUCUUUGAAAUUGCUAAUGAGAUUAAUGAGUACAGCAACCUGAACUAGACAUCUGGUUUAAAUUAGGAAAAGGUAUUGAUUAAUUUUGGAGGGGUGUCCCCAAAGCAGAACCCUUCCUUCGGCGGCGGUCCAUCUGACAUUAGUCUGCUGCCCUUUGUUUUAAGAGGUUCUCCAGAAGGGCGACUUCCAAACAAACCUUCACAUCCGUGUGAAAAGUCGAAUUGUUUUUCACUUCUUAGGAUGCGGUGGAGUGGGGGCUGAUCAGGAAUUCGAAGAUUUGUAAGCGCUGCUUUCUUUAACGGAAAUUGAGCCCUAUUUUGAGGGAAAUUAGUUUUGCAGACUUCGUUAGGGGGGGAAAAAGAAGCUAAAACUUUUGUUCACCAGCUGCUCAACUUUUCAGUCUCAGGCUGAGCUGGAGCCUACAGCAAGUCUUUGACGGCCGUGCUUGUUUUUUAAUGAAGAAAAGAGACACCAGGGGAAAAAAAUCAACAGUACUUUUUCUAGGAGCUGUCUGAAUAUGUGCACUUAAAAAAAUCCAAAGAUUAAUAUGACUUUCAAUAACAAGGUACCAAAUUACAUACAGAUCUGUCAAAAUGAUGUAAGACCUGAAAUCGCUCUGUAAGUUGAUCCUCUUUGACCCCACGAUUGGAGCUUCCCAGUGUGGGACCACACCUGGAAACCUGCCUUGAAGAUCUCAAAUAGUCAGAGGGAAUUCCUGGAACAGAAAAGCAUCCUAGCUGAAGACAUCCAGUUAUCCCUCUGUGCAUCAGAAGCAUCACUGUUAAUUAACUGUUGAUAUGCUUGAAAGAGUUUGUUUGGCAGUGGCCUUGUGAAGGAAGGCCAGCCAGGUGUAUUUUCAGAGUGCUGUGGACAAUGCUGUCACAGUCAGUUAACUUCCACAUCUUAUUGCUUCAAGAAAUGCUUAUAUUUUUACUCUUCCAAAUUCUGGGGCAUUAUGGCUGACUCUCUCGGCAACUAUAGAUAUUGUGGAUUAGUCAUCUCAGCAAGAGUCUGCAAGAUUCCCCAGCAGGGUAAGAGAAAUGGAGGGUCACAUACCUGGGCUUUUACAUUUUAAUCUAAAGGGGAUAAGUAUCAUUUCUGUUCACCACUCCACAGACCAAACAAUUUGUGCAUACUUGCAAAUGGCCUGGAAAAUAUUCUGGAGUAUACACUACCUGGUGAACCACAGAUGUCUCCUUAAAGUAGGCUUUGACCAACUCAAAUUCACUUCUAAUUCACAAAGCUUACACUGUUAAAAUACAUUUCUUAAGCCUUCUUGAAUCUUCUAAUUGCAUUUUCUAGUGCAGUUGUCCAUGCAAAGUACUCAGUAAACACACUCAACAGAGCAUGAGGUCUAUAGGCUUCAUCUUUGGGCUACUUUGUAGUUUCUGAUCUCAUCAGCAACAUGUGGCUACAACUACAGCCACAAAGACAUUUUAACUUGCUCUAGCUUCAAGAAUCUUAGCUUUGUGAGUUUCAGGAGUAAUGUAAAUGUGGUUUUCUGCUCUAAAGUAGAGGCUCAUUUCUACUUCCAUUGAAAUCAAAACAGUUACAUUCCAUAUGUGCGAUGAUAUUUGGGUUCAUUUGGGGAUUUUGUCUAUAAGCCAUUUACAGGUGAGUUGUUAGAUCAAUUUUUAGUUAUGUAAAUCAGAGUAAUUCAUGUCCAAUAUGAUUCUUAUAUUCAAUUAGUAUCAUACAUCCUGUGAUGGUUUGUAGUAUGAUCUGUAGAGAUACUUCCCAUGUAGUGUCUUCUCAAUUACUGACAUUGGAUUAUAGCCAAGCUAAUUAAAAUUUUGUGUCUAGAUUUCCUACCUAAAGUAAAAUUGUUCACUUGUAACAUUUCAAUUAUUUACUAAAUUGUUGUGUGAUAUUUUGUUUGUGUUCUGACAAAUAAAGCUUGCCUGGAGACCAGAGGGUGGAGCUAGCCACUAA